UGACGACUAGCCCUUGACCGGAUUCUUAAGACACGUGAUUUCACAGCUAUAAUCCUUACUGACUAUUGCAGUUCUCUGGAGUUUCUUAAAUCUGUCUUCCCUCCAGACUGAAAACCUGCUUCCUCUGUAUCUCACGUUACAAUCCUAACUCAUAUGCAAAUCUCUCCAACUGGCAUGAUUUCACCAAGGGCAGUUUGGAAUUGCAGUGACAGAGGAAGUUUGGAUGUGAACACAGUUGUUCAUCUGAGAGGCUCCAUAGAACGAGCAUUUACUCCGUAAAAGAGUUGAUGGCAAAUGCUCUUUUUCCUGAAGUCUAUUUCAGAGGUUCCUGCUGGCCGCAUUCCCAUGGGGUUUCUGGCCUGGGGCUAGAAUUGAUUAUCAGACAUGAAAGGGGCUGGCCCCGUGGCCGAGUGGUUAAGUUCACGCGCUCCGCUGCAGGCAGCCCAGUGUUUCGUUGGUUCAAAUCCUGGGCGCAGACAUGGCACUGCUCAUCAAACCACGCUGAGGCAGCGUCCCACAUGCCACAACUGGAAGGACCCACAGCGAAGAAUAUACAACUAUGUACUGGGGGGCUUUGGGGAGAAAAAGGAAAAAAUAAAAUCUUUAAAAAAAAAUAG
rnacentral:lncRNA from 1 species